AUCCAUCUGACGAGUCCCAAGUAGGACGAAACGUGCUUCCUGGAU
rnacentral:hammerhead_ribozyme from 1 species